UUCUGAGAAAGAGGACUUUCUGGCUUAUGCCCUCAGCACAACUUUUCCUACCCCAGAACUGUGCACUCAGUGUUGCCAACUACAGUCUACUUUUUAUACCAGAGUAGAAGAUUGUCAUUUUUGGUUAAAAGCUGAAGCAACUUCAGGGAAACCUCAGGGAAAAGAGAAGGGCUGGAAUCGGAUCUUCUACUUCAGAGAAAUGGGAAGACUGAGGAGGCAAGGUCUUACACAGUGUGAAGAAGGCAACUUAAAGGCUGGCCGGCAGUACGGAGACUGCGCAGUCAGCAAAAUCGGGUUCCUCUUUUCCAGGGCACAGAGUUGAACCACAUUUUCUCAACUUUUUGAGGACUAAAGAACCAUUGGCAUGGAGUUUACAUCUUGUUCGUCACGAGAAACUCAAUUAACAAGGCAGCAAAUAAGUGAUGAGACAUGGCAGCCCAAUUUUGUCUCAAAAGGACUCUGACUCUCUAAACUAUCCAGUGCUGGCCGGGCGCGGUGGAUCACGAGGU